rnacentral:tRNA from 1 species
AGGGGUGUUGUUUAUUGGUAGAGUGCUUGCCUAGCAUGCAUGAGACCCUGAGUUCAAUCCACAGCACCACAA